rnacentral:lncRNA from 1 species
UAAGGCGGUGAAAACAAGGGUUUCGGUGACUGUUAAAUGAGGAUAUAGAAUGUCAUCUUGAGUGACAAAACCGGUGUACCGCUUCAUGAUACUUGAAAACGGUUUGCCAUUGUAGGUGAUGGUCCCGUCUAGCUUGCCACCUAGGCGGCCACCUAAUGCGGUUAAAAGGGUAGUUUUUCCACAUCCGGAUGGCCCUAACAUGGCUAACAUUUCUCCGGGCAACACCAUGCCGGUUAUUCCUUUGAGUAUCUGUUUCUCUGUAGGCUCGUGGUUUUUCUUUCUUUUUAUCCAUCCUUGUUUCUUGUUUUUGAUGGUGUAAACCACUUCUUGAAACUGUUCAAUUAAAUAAUCGGAAUAAUAAGUUUAUAACAUAUAAACACUUUUUUUUUCGAAAAAGGAUGAAAAAUGAACCUUUAGUGUAACCGGAUGAUCGACUUUGUUGAAGAUUGAUGGAGGGGAUGAGGUUUGAGCUGAUGAUUGAGCCUCUAUAUCUACCAUUUGGGUUGCCAUUUGAAUAUUUUUUUUCCUAAUUCUGAUUUACAAAUAAAAAAAUGGUAUAUGUUGUUAUUUACAUACAUACAUACAUGUGAUUCGUUAAUUGUAUGUUGGUGUAUUAUAUAGUAAGAGAACCGAAUUAAGGUGAAAUAAAAGUCAUGCAAUAGAGGUGUGCGGGUUUAUGGCACAUACCCUUGAUUUGGUGUAAGAGAAUAGAGAUGGAGAAGGAAGUCAUGCAAUAGACAUGUGCGUUUAUGAUGUGUUCCCAUGUAUUUGGGAUGAUUUGGUGUGAUAGUUUGUGUUGGGUGAAAUAUUUGUUUGUGUAAACAAAAUGUUUUUUUUUUGAAAGAGAAUGUUUGUUUGUAUUUGAUUCAGCAAUGUUUUUUUUUUAAAUGACAUUCAGUGUCACGUUUUUGUUAUGAUCAAAUGUGUAACAUUUUAUUUGUAACUUGUUUAACGGAUUGAAAUAUGAAUGAAUAUUCUGUUAAGGUAAGUUGCAUAAAUUGGGAAAAGAUAAAAACGAAAUAUGAUUGCAUAAAUUAUUGGUUAACAAAGUGAAAGAUUGUUGUUGUGUAAGUAUUUGAAAAUGGUAAACCGUGUCCAUGUCACAAGACCCAUCACAUUGGGUGUAAAUCAUAGAACAAAAUUAGCAAUACUUUGCCUUUGGGUAUGUACAACUUUGAAUCAUGGACCUCCUUUAUAGAAUUUCACAUGUAUACUCCAGUUCUCAUCUCAGCUCAGGGGUAAAAUUAAAAUCAUCUUGUCGUUAUUGUGGUUUUUUUAGAACUUAUCUUUUUAUGUUCCAAAUUUUUAUGAUAGUUUUGGAUUUUAAUGUGUUUAGGCUCUAGUUAUUGAUCUUCUGGAUGGUGCUCAAGAAAGAGUUACUAAUUCAUUGUCAUUGCUGAUGCCAUUCUGAUUGAUGUUUCAAGCUAGUAAAGUUCAUUGCUAAAUUUGGUGAUUAGUCAUUGUUCAUUUCUAUUCUUGGUAUGUUGUUUUUUGUUUGGAUUUUAUUGGUAUAAAUCUCAAAAUCCUGCUAAUUGUCUUCUAAUGGUGCUUUGUAUUAGUUCUUUUUUAUUUUAUUUUUAAAUAUUUAAUAUAUUAAUAAGUAAUAAAAAAAUUAUAUAUAAUAUAUGUGAUGCGGUGCAGUUUUUAUUUUUAUUUAUUUAUUUUUUUUGCGGUUUUUGAAAACUAAAAGCUGUACCGCACUGCAAGUUUGUAGUUUUUGAAAAACAGAAAAUCUCACCAUCGUUUCCGUUGCAGUUUCGGUUUAUUGGUUGCGGCUUAUGUGGUUUUUUCAGGUUUUUAGUUGCGGUACGGUUGGAAAUGUUGAACAUAGUCGGGAAUCGGUAAGGCUUGGUAUACACGACAUGAGGGUCUCGUAGUGAGGAAGGAGAUGGUUGACUUUCGUGGUGUAUACCAUGAAAGACCAUAGCCAAUAGCUUCUCUUCCUCUCUCUUUCUCUCAUUUCGUUGCAAGUACACCACCAAUGGUGUAAUGGUGUGGAAGGAGAUGACGAUGUGGUGGAGUUGUUUGGCGUGUCCUCAUACCCGAUGGCCUAAUAGAAGCUACUUAGAAGUUGUUUGAUAGUUGUUAGCUAGGUUAGAGCUGACUGAGCUAGAAGCCGAUUGGGUUAGAAGUUAUGAAUUAACUUCUGAUUGAAACUUGAUAUUUGAUUUUGCAUCCGAUUGGUAGUGCAAAAUAACUAUAUUUUUUAUAAUAAUUUCUUUAUGAUUUACCAUUUAACUUAUAACAUUAUAAAAAUAUACAAAGUUAUUGGUUUGAUAUAAAAACAUUCUCGAUUAGCCACACCCAUCAUCCUCUCGCAACUAUUACCACCUUCUUUGAAGGUUAACAACUAUGCAACAUACAACAGUUAGUACCUAAAUUAAACCGAAAUCAGUCCCAAUCUAUGCAUCAACCCACUAAUAUUAAUAACCAAACUAUAUGUAUCACUUACAGUUAGGGCCGGCAAUUCUUGACACGACACGCGACACGAUCCGUGACACGACACGAAAUAAAUGGGUUUGAGCUGAGUUUUUCAACCCGCCAACCCGUUUAUUAAACGGGUCAUAUAUGGGUUUCUCAAAAAAUAAAUGGGUUGACCUGCCAACCCGUUUAUAUUCUUAAUAAAAAAAAUUAUUUUAUUUUUAAAUGUAUUUAUGUAUCAACUAUUAAUAUUUAAUAAGUUUUAUAUAAUAUAUACCAUUGAUUAGACCAUUUGACUGUUUUGAUAUUUUGACUCGUGGUGGAUGGUCUAAGGUUAUAAGUCGUAACCUAUAAGGCUAAGUCUGUAACAUGUUUCUAUGAAUGUUUUUAAUUUUCAUUUGGAUGUUUAAAACUUAAAUGUCUAAAAUUCGGACCCACGAACCCGCCAACCUGUAACCCGUAAAAAUAAAUGGGUUGGUGGGUCAUAUAUGAGUUUAUGUUCCAAACUCGCCAACCCGUUACCCGACAACCCGUGACCUGUAUAUUUAAAUGGGUCGUGUUUGGGUUGACAUAUUUUGACCCGCCAACCUGCGACACGCCAACCCGAACACGACACGAUUGCCAGACCUACUUACAGGAAAUCACAAUUAUACUUGUGAAUGAUUCAUAAACCGGAAACUUUCAUCUUAUAUGUAAUUAAUGUUAAAAGACUAAUUCAAAGCUAAGAAGAUUAGAAGAUUGGAGUGGGAAUUGAUUCACCUUUAGGUAGACUUAUAGUCAUAUGUUGAGUGUUAUCUCUUGUGUACGUAUGUAUAUUUGUUUAAAUAAUAAACCAAACAAACAUAAUCUUGUUGUUUUUUUAACAGUUGGUUAGUGGUUAGAACAACAAUUAAACUUAUCAAUCUAGAACUCAAACUUUAGUCAUUUAAGCUUAACGAACUCCAAGGCACUUUAAAGUCCAAAUUCAAAGAGUAUCCGCCAUUCAAGCAUUAAUACUUAUGAAAUCCUAAGAAAAUUUUCCAAAAUAUGAUUCGUUUAAAAAUGUGCAAUAGAAAACAGUGAUUUUGUGAAAUUAGUUAAUUGAGUGAAAACAGAAGGAUAAGAAGAAACCAAUAGAAUUAGAACAAAUUGACAAGCAGUCGAUAGCAAUCAACAAAGUUGAAAGCGAUUUUGAUUUUGUGAAAUUGACUCAGUCAAUAGCCAACAUCUUGUUAUUAAAAAUUAAAAAAAAAACAAACAAACAAACAAACAAACUCACCUAAGGAAGACGACGGCGCGGAGGAGGAAUUCGACAGCAUCGUCGGCGUUGCUGAAACAGCGAACGGAGUGCCUAAGCGAUGGUGGCCGGUCUCGUUUCAACGGCCAUUUGAGGAAGAAGGAUGGAGUGUAAAUGUUAUCCGGGUAUUAAAGGGCUUUGGUGGCUAAGGAAGAAGAUGGUUGUGAUGUUGAUCAAAGGGAAAAAGGAGCAGAUGAUGGAAAUGAUCUAAUCCAACACUUUUUUUUCUUGGACUGAGUCGGAGGAUUUCAAAAGGUUGUGGAUCUAGUUAGAGGCUAUAUUUGAUAGCAUCAAACACACAAGAAUUAGAUCAUGUCAGCAAAAACUUUUUACUGGACUAUGUCAGAAUUAAAAGACAAUCAAACAACCCUGCAAACAUUGUACAUUAUUGUUGGAAUUGUUUUAUAUCAACAUUUUAAUUUACUAUCAAAUAUUAUUUAUAGCUCAUGAGAAUGAUAUAUUUAUUUUCAACAACAUACUUUCUCUCACUUCAAUUUUAUUAAGAGAACAAUGAUAAAGUUCUAUGUGGUUUGCUAUUCUACUUAGAGUUUAAGAAGUUUUCAAAUAAAAAAUGCCUUUUUUUUAGAAUGUUUUAUUAUAGUUUGGUCUCGUAACUUAAACCGUUAGUGUUAUUAUGUUGAGUGAUGCUAAUAUGACUCUUUUACUUUCAUUUUGUAUUUCUUUUAUGUAACUGAGUGAGCUCAAUUUUUGUCCCACCUUUUCAAGAACAUCCCUAAAUCUAUGCCCCUUUGUAUUCGUUUAAUUGCCUAUGUUGUCAUCGAUGAUUGUAUGGUUCAUAUCAAAUCUAUAAAAUAUUUGUAGGGUUCUCUUUAGAAAAAAAUAAAAUCGAACGAUGAAAUGGAAAGAUAUGAUAACAUUAUUGUAACGACCCAAUUUUCACGACCAAAAAUUUCAUUUUUGUUUAAGUAAUUUGCACAACAUUUGUAUCAAAAUAUCAAUCGAUCAUAUCAUUUAAUAAAAGCAUGUCUCGUAUCUGAAAACCGAAUCGUAAAAACAUAAUAAUGUUAGAGUACAAAUCCCAGAAUAACUCAUAGUGUGGAAAACAAAGAGUGUGCGUAUGAUGUGCCGCUACCGCGCCAGCUCCUUCCCCUUCGCUGAAGAGGUACCUGAAACCAAAACUGUAAACUGUAAACAUGAAGCUUAGUGAGUUCCCCCAUUGUACCACAUACCAUACAAUCACAUAGCAUACAUAAUGUCGGGCAAUUCUGGGGUGCCCGACCUACCCGGUAUGUCCAUUCUGGGGUGCCGACCUACCCGUGUCAAGCUAUUCUGGGGUGCUGACCUACCCGUCGGUCCUAACAACCGACCCUCGGGGACUAAUCCACCCCUAUUGUUGCUAUCACAUAUAUCAUAACAUGAACAUACUAUCAGACAUAUUUGGGGUGUCCGAACUACCCUUCGGUCCUAACAUAUAUCAUAACAUGAACAUAAUGUGUAUGUUCAACACCAACGGUCAAGGGACAGUUACGUUCAGAAAAUGAACUUGUCAGGUUCUGAACCUGAACUGAAAUGUCAUGCCAGGUUCAGAACCUGGCAAUAUGCCAAUAUGUUCUUUGUUGGACUCCUAUCCUAGGGUUGUAAUGAAACAAUAUUUUCAAUGUUUAUACCAUUUGCAAGAUCUAGCAAAAAGUCGGAAGGAUUCAUGGCGACCGAUGGCGAAAAUCCAAUACUGUUAAAAUAAUCCAUAACUUCCGAUCCUUUACCAAAAAACAACGAAUUCCCUUCCGAUAACAACAACACCUUAUGAAACAUGUAAAAAAGCCUACUUGAAGGUUGAUGAAUCGUCAUAACAAUUGUUCUUCCGCCUCUUGCUAACUCCCAUAAAGUCAAAGCAAUCCUUUGAGCAGUUGUUGAAUCAAGCCCAGAUGUUGGCUCAUCCAAGAACAACAAACUAGGGUUUAUAAGCAUUUCUUGCCCGAUACUAACUCUUUUUCUCUCUCCACCCGACACCCCUCUUAAAUUCGGCCCACCGAUGAUAAUAUUCUUGCAUCUUGUUAACCUAAGUUGGUCGAUCACCGCUUCCGCAUGCGUGAUCUUUUCUUGAGUUGUGAGCUUUUUAGGCAAGCGGAGUAAGGCAAUGAAAACAAGGGUUUCGGUGACUGUUAAAUGAGGAUAUAGAAUGUCAUCUUGAGUGACAAAACCGGUGUACCGCUUCAUGAUACUUGAAAACGGUUUGCCAUUGUAGGUGAUGGUCCCGUCUAGCUUGCCACCUAGGCGGCCACCUAAUGCGGUUAAAAGGGUAGUUUUUCCACAUCCGGAUGGCCCUAACAUGGCUAACAUUUCUC